ACUGUAUUCAGUUUCACAGUUUUUAUCUUCCAGCUCGGCAGUGGAUGUUCCCCUUUGGUUUGCAGCUGCUUGACACGCGUUGUCGUAUCACGUUAGACAUUUGUAGACGUGACGUUAGCGAAAGGGCAUCGGCUCAGCCCUUGAAUUCUGCAGUCUAAUACCAUGUGAGCCUGUGAUUCUCUAGAGGUGUUUCUUUAACGAAAAGAUCUCUGCUUGAAGACCGAGUGAGGAAAUUAGCACGUGUUUGAGGGAAAAGCUUGAAUCCGCUCCUGUCUAGCUCUCAGCUGUGAGACAAAUCAUUUAACUGGGUCUGUUUCCUUUUCUGUAAAACAAGAGGGCUGGAUUAAAAAUAUCGUUUGGCUCUCCUGAGA